CCGCUCUAGCCCACCCGCUGAAUUUAAGCAUAUCGCUAAGCGGAGGAAAAGAAACCAACCGGGAUUCCCUUAGUAACGGCGAGUGAACCGGGAGAAGCCCAACGCCGAAUCCCGUCGCAAGUAAACGGCUUCGGGACGUGUGGCGCAUGGGUCGAAGACAGCCGUUCGUUUUCGUCUCGCGUAGUUCGGAGUUCCCUCGAUCGGGGCCGCCCGUGGCGUGCCAGGCCCAUUCGGUGCGGACGGCGAGCGACGGUCUUCGAUCCGAGAGUCGGGUUGCUUGGGAACGCAGCCCAAAUCGGGUGGUAAACUCCAUCCAAGGCUAAAUACCGGGACACGUCCGAUAGUCGCAAGUACCGUAGGAAAGUUGUAAA
rnacentral:rRNA from 1 species